rnacentral:lncRNA from 1 species
GUGGCACUAACGUGAACGUAGGAGGCAAAGGCGGUACUGGGGUGAACACCGGGAAGGGAACCAACGUUGGUGUUGGCAAAGGAGGAGUGUCCGUAAACACAGGGCACAAGGGAAAGCCCGUGUAUGUUGGAGUAAAACCAGGACCAGACCCUUUUAACUACCAGUAUGCAGCCACCGAAACCCAACUCCAUCAAGACCCAAACGUUGCUAUUUUCUUCUUGGAGAAAGACAUGCGUCCUGGAACAACAAUGAACUUGCACUUCACCACAAAUUCAAACACGCAAACUUUUGUGCCGCGCGAAACUGCGGAAUCCAUCCCAUUUUCGUCCAACAAGCUGCCAGAAAUCUUCAACCAAUUUUCAGUGAAAUCGGGUUCCGUGGAAGCGGAUAUAAUCAAGGGUACAAUUCAAGAGUGUGAGAAUCCAGCCAUUAGAGGAGAGGAGAAAUAUUGUGCUACCUCUUUGGAGUCCAUGAUUGACUUUAGCACUUCUAAGCUUGGAGGAGGAAAUGUUCGAGCAAUUUCGACAGAAGCCGGAAAAGGAG